UGGGCGGCUGGAGUCCGGGAGUACAGUGAACGGGCUGUAGUCUAGCAUAAAGGCGGAACCCAGAAGAAGGGGCGUGGCGUGGUAGAAGCCUCCCCGCCUGCCCCCGCAAUGCGGCACCCACUAGUCCUGCCGCUGCUCCUCUCUGCCCUGGUGACCCCCUCCGCUGCAGCACCUAUCCACGAUGCUGAUGCCCAAGAGAGCUCCUUUGGUCUUACAGGCCUCCGAAGCCUGCUCCAAGUCUUUAGCUGACUUUUCCUGAAACAGCAGGAUGAUCUGCUUUGGGGCAUGGACAGCUUCUUCUCUGCCCUCAUGGACUUCUGGGGCCUCCCUAGGAACUACCACCAAGAGGGGAACCAGGAGCACCAGCUGGGAAACAACACCAUCUCCAGCCACCUCCAGAUCGACAAGGUGACAGACAACAAGACAGGAGAGGUGCUGAUCUCUGAGAAGGUGGUGGCAUCCAUCCAACUAGCAGAGGGGAGCUUCAAGGGUGACAGGAAGGUACCCAGGAUGGAGGAGAAGGAGGCCCUGGUGCCAAUCUGAAAGGCCAUGAACAGCUUCCACACAGAACUCUGUCCCCAGGUGGCCUUCUGGAUCAUGAAGCUGCCAUGGCAGAGGUCCCACCAGGAUGUCCCAGAGGGUGGCCACUGGCUCAGCGAGAAGUGACACCGCCUGCAGGCCAUCCGAGAUGGGCUCCAUGAGGGGACCCGUGAGGACGUCUUAGAAGAGAGGACCCAGGGCUUCUCCCACUCCAGGCUGUUCCCCCAAAAGACCCACUUACCCUACAUCUUUAGGCCCUCCCAGCAGCUGUAG